GAUGAACGCUGGCGGCGUGCCUAACACAUGCAAGUCGAACGGGCUUAUAUUGAAACCUAGUGAUAUAUAAGCUAGUGGCGGACGGGUGAGUAACGCGUGGGCAACCUGCCCCAUACCGGGGGAUAACACCUGGAAACAGGUGCUAAUACCGCAUAAGCGCACAGCUUAGCAUUAAGCAGUGUGAAAAACUCCGGUGGUAUGGGAUGGGCCCGCGUCUGAUUAGCUUGUUGGCGGGGCAACGGCCCACCAAGGCGACGAUCAGUAGCCGGCCUGAGAGGGUGGACGGCCACAUUGGGACUGAGACACGGCCCAAACUCCUACGGGAGGCAGCAGUGGGGAAUAUUGGACAAUGGGGGAAACCCUGAUCCAGCGGCGCCGCGUGAGUGAAGAAGUAUUUCGGUACGUAAAGCUCUAUCAGCAGGAAAGAAAAUGACGGUACCUGACUAAGAAGCCCCGGCUAACUACGUGCCAGCAGCCGCGGUAAUACGUAGGGGGCAAGCGUUAUC
rnacentral:rRNA from 1 species